CCGAUCUUCACUUGAAGUAUGUGCAUUUGCUUCGUUUUCCAAUUAUAUAUUUCGAGCUGAUGCAAACCAGUGCGCGAUUAGAGACAGCGUCCGGGAGAGCCGACGUCACCCGAGGGCUUCGUGCCUAGUGCCCUCACCCUAUUCUUUCGAAUCCUGGGGUGAAUUAUGGACACAGCAGGCAAGGCACUCCCCCCAUUCCCUUGGGGGGGGGGGCAAAGGAGGCUGCAUACUCCCAUAUCAGCCUCUUAAUUACCUCGUGUGGGUCGGAGAGAUGUUAUUGUUGGCCAUCUUCCAAUGCGCCCCCUGGUGGCCCCCACAACAACAAUAUAUUGGGGAAAGAUAUAUAUAUAUUUCCCCCCCAAUGUAUUUGAAUUUCCCUGACCUGGUUUACUGGAUUAUCCCCAGGUCAGGGAAAUUCAAAUGCAUUGGGGGGAAAUGUACAAGAUCACAGUUCUCUGCAGUGGAUGUCAGCACAAACAACAUCAAGUUCACAUUAUACCUAGGACCCUCGUACCUCUCCUGGUACGUCCCACAGAGGAACUUAUGAUCUUCAAACAAAAACAUCUUGAAGGUCCCAGGCCACAGAGAGGUUAGGCUGGCCUCAACCAAAGCCCGGGCUUUUUCAGCUGUAGCUCCGAUCUGGUGGAACGCUCUGUCACAAGAGACUAGGGCCCUGCAGGACUUGACAUCUUUCCACAGGGCCUGCAAGCAGAGCUGUUCCACCAGGCCUUUGUCCAGGGCACAGCCUGACUCCCUCCUUUGGCAAUCCUCACAGAACCUCUAGCCCAAUGGUUGCCAUUAAUUUGAUUGGAAUUAAUUUUAUAAUGAAAUGAUUUUAGAAUGUUUUAUCGUUUUACUGUUGUUAGCCGCUCUGAGCCCGGCUUCGGCUGGGGAGGGCGGGAUAGAAAUAAAAUUUAUUAUUAUUAUUAUUAUUACUCCAGAGUGGACAAGCCCAAAAUCUUGAACAAGCAGUUCCAGGGUGACUUUUCACUCCUCGACAAAACAAAGCAAGCUAGCCACUUCCCAACCUAUCAAUUAUAAAUGUUCUCCAGUGCAGUGCUGAGGUCCCUGCAGAAAGGAAGAAGCCCUUAGAGAAAGAGAAGUGAACCUCAUCAGACAUCCUAGGAAGAAUUAAGGAG